UAACGCGUAGGUAACCUGCCUUGUAGCGGGGGAUAACUAUUGGAAACGAUAGCUAAUACCGCAUAACAAUGGAUGACCCAUGUCAUUUAUUUGAAAGGGGCAAAUGCUCCACUACAAGAUGGACCUGCGUUGUAUUAGCUAGUAGGUGAGGUAACGGCUCACCUAGGCGACGAUACAUAGCCGACCUGAGAGGGUGAUCGGCCACGCUGGGACUGAGACACGGCCCAG
rnacentral:rRNA from 1 species